AGUGAACGCUGGCGGUAGGCCUAACACAUGCAAGUCGAACGGCAGCACAGUAAGAGCUUGCUCUUACGGGUGGCGAGUGGCGGACGGGUGAGGAAUACAUCGGAAUCUACUUUUUCGUGGGGGAUAACGUAGGGAAACUUACGCUAAUACCGCAUACGACCUACGGGUGAAAGCAGGGGAUCUUCGGACCUUGCGCGAUUGAAUGAGCCGAUGUCGGAUUAGCUAGUUGGCGGGGUAAAGGCCCACCAAGGCGACGAUCCGUAGCUGGUCUGAGAGGAUGAUCAGCCACACUGGAACUGAGACACGGUCCAGACUCCUACGGGAGGCAGCAGUGGGGAAUAUUGGACAAUGGGCGCAAGCCUGGUCCAGCCAUCCCGCGUGGGUGAAGAAGGCCUUCGGGUUGUAAAGCCCUUUUGUUGGGAAAGAAAAGCAGCAGGUUAAUACCCCGCUGUUCUGACGGUACCCAAAGAAUAAGCACCGGCUAACUUCGUG
rnacentral:rRNA from 1 species